AUGAAUAAAUGUUUACUUGAGAACCAAAACGUGUGGCAGAAACGAGUUACUACCAUUGAGUCAGAAUUCAAAGAUUUUACAACUUCCAAAGAUAAAGAGAUUCAGGAAUUGAGGGAGCAGCUACGUGAUGUCAUGUUUUACGUUGAAGCACAAGGAAAACUUAAAAAUGCAGAGGGCGUGUCACAAGAGGAAAUACAAGGCAGUCAAGUUGUGGUCGGGGCGUCCUCGGAGACGUCGCCACAAAAUCGUAAAACAAGAAAAAAAACAAAGAUGAAAGUUUAAAUGUAUUCAUCAUAUUGUUGGGUCUAAAAAUAAAGCAUUACAAACAAAGAUGAAAGUUUAGAUAAGUUCAUCAUUUUGUUGGGUCUUUAAAAAAGGCAUUACACAUUUCUCUUAUGAGAAAAUUAUUUACCCUACUUUUGCAAGGGCAUGAUCUUUGAAAGGAAAGAAAGACGGCCAAUUCUGUUCAUUCUAUGAAUUUGUGACCUUAGAAAUUUGUAAAAAUGUGGUAAAAAUGUUCAGUUUACGUAACUAUACCUCUUCCUUUGAUCUGGAGAUCUCUUUUUAGAAAAUUAUUAUCAUACAGUAUUUCAAGAUUAUAUUUCACUUUAACCUGUUUAUUUAUUACCAGGUUUUCCACAAGGAAACUGGUUUCUAGGUGAAUGUGAAGUGUGGGCGGCUGAGUGUAAAACAGUAUUUUCUGUAUGAAACUCCUCUAUUUCUCAACAGAUGUGAAUAUAAGCAUUGAUGAUUAUUUAAUACAUGUAUAUCUUUAUUUAUUUCUUAUCAGACAAUUUCAAAAAUACCAUACAUACUUAGACUGAUUAACUUGUUUAUAAGUAAUAAUAGCUGACAUAAAUCAGUAUAUUUCUGGAAAAUAAAUGAUUUUAAUCACCAGCUUAAAACAUGUGUAUGCAGCAAGAAAAAUGCUGUUGUCAGCUUGCAUAGUUUUAAACCCAUUCCAUUGUUUCACUGCUAUAUGUAAGUCCAAACCCCAAGACAUACAUAUGUAGUUGAAGCUAAAUUUUAAAGCUACUAUCCUAUACCCGAUGGUUGAACCUUUCUCUGAAAAUGAAUAUAGAAUGGGCUGUUGCCAUGCGUUAAGGUUGUUGACUUCAAAGCACAUGACAUUUUCCACUGUGGAAUCAAAAUCCUGCAAGAGACAUUUGUAUCUUUUUAGUAAGAAAGCUAUCCAGCUAGCUUACAAAAUGUUGAUGGUUCUACUUUGGUGCCCGUUCAUGCCUGAAAUGAUACAUGGGAGGGCGCCUGAGGCCUUUUCCCUUCCUUCACAAGAAAAAGUGAACAUUUGACAUAUGGCCUAUGUUGUGUUCGUGCCAUGUAAAACCUUACCAAAAUAAAAAAAUAAAAUUUA